UACGGGGGAUGCAAGCGUUAUCCGGAUUUAUUGGGUUUAAAGGGUGCGUAGGCUGUGAGGUAAGUCAGCGGUGAAAUGCCCCCGCUCAACGGGGUGAAGUGCCAUUGAUACUGCCUUGCUGGAACGCGGAUGCCGUGGGAGGAAUGUGUGGUGUAGCGGUGAAAUGCAUAGAUAUCACACAGAACACCGAUUGCGAAGGCAUCUCACGAAUCCGCUAUUGACGCUGAUGCACGAAAGCGUGGGUAUCAAACAGG
rnacentral:rRNA from 1 species